rnacentral:rRNA from 1 species
CACGUAGGGCGCAAGCGUUGUCCGGAAUUAUUGGGCGUAAAGAGCUCGUAGGUGGUUUGUUACGUCCGCUGUGAAAUCCUAGGGCUUAACCCUGGGCUUGCAGUGGAUACGGGCAGACUAGAGGUAGGUAGGGGAGAAUGGAAUUCCUGGUGUAGCGGUGAAAUGCGCAGAUAUCAGGAGGAACACCGGUGGCGAAGGCGGAUCUCUGGGCCUUACCUGACGCUGAGGCGCGAAAGCUAGGGGAGCGAACAGG